rnacentral:rRNA from 1 species
GACGAACGCUGGCGGCGUGCUUAACACAUGCAAGUCGAACGGAAAGGCCCUGCUUGCAGGGUACUCGAGUGGCGAACGGGUGAGUAACACGUGGGUGAUCUGCCCUGCACUUCGGGAUAAGCCUGGGAAACUGGGUCUAAUACCGGAUAGGAGCCAUUUUUAGUGUGAUGGUUGGAAAGUUUUUUCGGUGUAGGAUGAGCUCGCGGCCUAUCAGCUUGUUGGUGGGGUAAUGGCCUACCAAGGCGGCGACGGGUAGCCGGCCUGAGAGGGUGGACGGCCACAGUGGGACUGAGAUACGGCCCAGACUCCUACGGGAGGCAGCAGUGGGGAAGAUUGCACAAUGGGCGCAAGCCUGAUGCAGCGACGCCGCGGGGGGGAUGACGGCCUUCGGGUUGUAAACUCCUUUCGCUAGGGACGAAGCUUUUUGUGACGGUACCUAGAUAAGAAGCACCGGCUAACUACGUG